rnacentral:rRNA from 1 species
CCUACGGGAGGCAGCAGUGAGGAAUAUUGGUCAAUGGCCGCAAGCCUGAACCAGCCAAGCCGCGUGAGGGACGACGGUCCUAUGCAUUGUAAACUUCUUUUGUCGGGGGACAAAAUCCGCCUCGCGUGCCUUACCGAGAGUACCCGAAGAAAAAGCAUCGGCUAACUCCGUGCCAGCAGCCGCGGUAAUACGGAGGAUGCGAGCGUUAUCCGGAUUUAUUGGGUGUAAAGGGUGAGUAGGCGGGAUAGUAAGUCAGCUGGGAAAUCCCCUGGCUUAACCCUAGGAGAGCAUUUGAAACUGGUUGUCUAGAGAUGGGGAGAGGUAGGUGGAAUGCGUGGUGUAGGGGUGAAAUGCGUAGAGAUUGAGAAGAACUCUGAUUGCGAAGGCAGCAU